rnacentral:snoRNA from 1 species
AUCCUCUGGUUGCCUUUCCAUUGGAUCUCAACACUGGUCUUGGUGGUUGUAAAGGAGGAAGAGCAUGAUGAAGCUGGCCUCACAGCCUUGUAGUCUGGUAUAAGCAUGUGUGCUAGAUUCAAACAGGG